UAAUACGGAGGAUCCAAGCGUUAUCCGGAUUUAUUGGGUUUAAAGGGUGCGCAGGCGGAAGAUUAAGUCGGCGGUGAAAUUUUGCAGCUCAACUGUAAAAGUGCCAUCGAUACUGGUUUUCUUGAGUGUGGAUGAAGUAGGCGGAAUUUGUGGUGUAGCGGUGAAAUGCAUAGAUAUCACGAGGAACUCCGAUUGCGCAGGCAGCUUACUAAGCCAUAACUGACGCUCAGGCACGAAGGCGUGGGGAUCAAACAGG
rnacentral:rRNA from 1 species